GUACCUAUCCCCUUCUGCAGAUUUUCUUUGUAGAAACGCAUGGAGGAGACUAUACAGCCUGACACCCAGUAGAUCAUGAUAUUGGUGAGCAGAUCAUCCAGGUGAAACUUCCUGAAUAGAAUUGCAGGAAUGCUCCAGCUCCCAAAACAUGAGCUGGCUCUUGGUUGCCAGUCAGCACAGUCCACUCUGACAGACCACGUUACUGGUAGGGACAAGAGUCAAAUGGGAAACCACAGCAGAAGGCACAUGGCUUGGCACUGUCCAGCUACCAGCUUCCCAUCUUAAAGCACAAACACAAUUAGAGGCUAGUAAUUUUUAGAAAACAAAACUCAAAAUUACUUAAAAUCAAUAAAAUUCCCAUUUUGCCUACAGAUUUUAAGAACAUACAAGUUUCUGCAGUAUCAGGCUUCGUAGCCUGUAUGUGAGCGUAGCCAGACUCCAUCAAGAUCUUGUAGACUCCUUUCUUUAAGAAGGGAAACAUCCGCCUGACAUCUUCAUCCUGGAAACCGAAGAGCCCUGGAAGAUAGCGGCCCAGCAGGAUGGAGAGCAGGGCACACAGGAUCUUUGUUUCUAGACUGGGAAAAAAAACAAGUGCCAGGAGUUACUGUUCUGCUAAUGGGGUUUAUCUCACUGUGAGACUAGGCUUAUGUUCAGUUUCUUCUCACAGAUCAUACCUUUUUUGUGGGGUGCUUCUGAGAAACCAUAACCAGGGAUAGAUGGACAAAUGACUUCAAAAACGUGUUCGUCACUGAGGCCGUGGCUGGCAGGAUCCGUCAGGAGAGGGAUGAUUUUGUAAAACUCAUAGAAUGAGCCGGGCCAGCCAUGAACCAUUAACAGUGGCUUUGCAGACUGGCCUUCAGGCAGACGAGGAGGCUUCACAUGAACAAAAUGGAUAUCAAUGCCUGUAUAAAGAAAGUAAGUCAUUAACAUGCCCAGAUUUCCCAUGACACUGAAACUCAGCACAGAACAGAGCAUGAAUAAAGCUUCUCUGAAGUCCUUUUUUUUGGUGAGUAUCCA